rnacentral:rRNA from 1 species
GCACAAGCGGAGGAACACGUGGUUAAUUCGAUGAUACGCGAGGAACCUUACCUGGGCUAGAACGCCGGGGAGCUCGUCCGAAAGGCGGGCCAGCGAUGGCCGCCGGCGAGGUGCUGCAUGGUUGUCGUCAGCUCGUGCCGUGAGGUGUCGGGUUAAGUCCCAUAACGAGCGCAACCCCUACCGCCAGUUGCCAACGGGUAAAGCCGGGACUCAGGCGGGACUGCCGGCGUAAACCGAGAGGAAGGCGGGGAUGACGUCAAAUCAGCACGGCCCUUACGUCCAGGGCUACACACGUGUUACAAUGGCCGGUACAGAGGGAGGCGACCCCGCGAGGGGGAGCGGAUCCCGAAAGCCGGUCGUAGUUCGGAUCGGGGUCUGGAACCCGACCCCGUGAAGCCGGAUUCGCUAGUAAUCGUGGAUCAGCAUGCCACGGUGAAUACGUUCCCGGGCCUU